rnacentral:ncRNA from 1 species
AGGCAGGGGAGCUUGUAUGACAGGCUGAGAGGAAGGUAGACCUUCGACCCUUUAACCUGAUGCGGAUAAUGCCGACGUAGGAAGUGGAUAUGA